UACGAGAGGUCCAAACGUUAUUCGGAAUUACUGGGCUUACAGAGUUCGUAGGCGGCUCUACAAGUGAGGUGUGAAAAGCCCCUCGGCUCAACCCGAGGGAACUGCGCCUUUCAAAACUGUAGAACUAGAGGGGAGAUAGAGGGUGAGCAGAAACUGAUGGUGGAGCCGGUGAAAUGCGUUGAUAUCAUCAGGAAUACCGGAGGCGAAGGCGGCUCACUGGGUCUCUUCUGACGCUGAGGAACGAAAGCUAGGGGAGCAAACGGG
rnacentral:rRNA from 1 species